rnacentral:rRNA from 1 species
CGCGUAUCAGCCAUGACGCGGUGAAUAUGUUCCUGAGCCUUGUACACACCGCCCGUCAAGCCACGAAAGCUGGGAGCGCCCGAAGUCGUUAGCCUAACUCCGGAAGGCGACGCCGAAGGCGAGCUCCGUGAUUGGGACUAAGUCGUAACAAGGUAGCCGUAGGGGAACCUGCGGCUGGAUCACCUCCUUU